GUGUCAGCAGCCGCGGUAAUACGAAGGGACCUAGCGUAGUUCGGAAUUACUGGGCUUAAAGAGCUCGUAGGUGGUUAGAAAAGUUGGUGGUGAAAUCCCAAGGCUUAACCUUGGAACUGCCAUCAAAACUUUUUGACUAGAGUAUGAUAGAGGAAAGUGGAAUUUCUAGUGUAGAGGUGAAAUUCGUAGAUAUUAGAAAGAACACCAAUUGCGAAGGCAACUUUCUGGAUCAUUACUGACACUGAGGAGCGAAAGCAUGGGUAGCGAAGAGGAUUAGAUACCCUCGUAGUCCAUGCCGUAAACGAUGUGUGCUAGACGUUGGAAAUUUAGUUUUCAGUGUCGCAGCGAAAGCGUUAAGCACACCGCCUGGGGAGUACGACCGCAAGGUUAAAACUCAAAUGAAUUGACGGGGACCCGCACAAGUAGUGGAGCAUGUGGUUUAAUUCGAAGAUACGCGCAGAACCUUACCAACACUUGACAUGUUCGUCGCGACUCUAAGAGAUUAGAGUUUUCGGUUCGGCCGGACGAAACACAGGUGCUGCAUGGCUGUCGUCAGCUCGUGUCGUGAGAUGUUGGGUUAAGUCCCGCAACGAGCGCAACCCUUACUUUUAGUUGCUACCAUUUAGUUGGGCACUCUAAAAGAACUGCCGGUGAUAAGCUGGAGGAAGGUGGGGAUGACGUCAAGUCCUCAUGGCCCUUAUGUGUUGGGCUACACACGUGCUACAAUGGUACUCACAGUGAGAAGCGAAGAGGCGACUCUAAGCUAAUCCCUAAAAAGUGCCUCAGUUCGGAUUGUACUCUGCAACUCGAGUACAUGAAGCUGGAAUUACUAGUAAUCGCGGAUCAGCGCGCCGCGGUGAAUACGUUCCCGGGUCUUGCACACACCGCCCGUC
rnacentral:rRNA from 1 species